GAUGAAGAACGUAGCGAAAUGCGAUAAGUAAUGUGAAUUGCAGAAUUCAGUGAAUCAUCGAAUCUUUGAACGCACAUUGCGCCCGCCAGUAUUCUGGCGGGCAUGCCUGUUCGAGCGUCAUUACAACCCUCAGGCCCCCGGGCCUGGCGUUGGGGAUCGGCGGAGCCCCCCGUGGGCACACGCCGUCCCCCAAAUACAGUGGCGGUCCCGCCGCAGCUUCCAUCGCGUAGUAGCUAACACCUCGCGACUGGAGAGCGGCGCGGCCACGCCGUAAAACACCCAACUCUUCUGAAGUUGACCUCGAAUCAGGUAGGAAUACCCGCUGAACUUAAGCAUAUCAAUAAGCAGAGGA
rnacentral:misc_RNA from 1 species